UACGAGGGGGGCGAGCGUUGUUCGGAAUUAUUGGGCGUAAAGGGUGCGUAGGCGGUUCCGCAAGUCCUGUGUGAAAUCUUCGGGCUCAACUCGAAGUCUGCACGGGAAACUGAGGAUCUUGAGUACGGGAGAGGUGAGUGGAACUGCGAGUGUAGAGGUGAAAUUCGUAGAUAUUCGCAAGAACACCAGUGGCGAAGGCGGCUCACUGGCCCGUUACUGACGCUGAGGCACGAAAGCGUGGGGAGCAAACAGG
rnacentral:rRNA from 1 species